AUUGAACGCUGGCGGCAUGCCUUACACAUGCAAGUCGAACGGCAGCACGGGUGCUUGCACCUGGUGGCGAGUGGCGAACGGGUGAGUAAUACAUCGGAACGUACCUUAUCGUGGGGGAUAACGCAGCGAAAGCUGUGCUAAUACCGCAUACGCCCUGAGGGGGAAAGCGGGGGAUCGAAAGACCUCGCGCGAUUAGAGCGGCCGAUGCCUGAUUAGCUUGUUGGUGGGGUAAAAGCCCACCAAGGCGACGAUCAGUAGCUGGUCUGAGAGGACGAUCAGCUACACUGGGAGUGAGACACGGCCCGGACUCCUACGGGAGGCAGCAGUGGGGAAUUUUGGACAAUGGGGGCAACCCUGAUCUAGCAAUGCCGCGUGAGUGAAGAAGGCCUUCGGGUUGUAAAGCUCUUUUGUCAGGGAAGAAACACCGGCUCUAACACAGUCCGGGAAUGACGGUACCUGAAGAAUAAGCACCGGCUAACUUCGUGCCAGCCGCCGCGGUAA
rnacentral:rRNA from 1 species